rnacentral:rRNA from 1 species
AAUGAAAUAAAUUUUUAAUGGCCGCAGUAAUUUGACUGUGCAAAGGUAGCAUAAUCAUUAGUCUUUUAAUUGAAGGCUUGUAUGAAUGGUUGGACGAAGUAUAAUCUGUUUCAUAUAAAUUUAUUAUAGAAUUUUAUUUUUUAGUAAAAAAGCUAAAAUUUUUUUAAAAGACGAGAAGACCCUAUAAAUCUUUAUAAUUUAAAUUAUUAUAAUUUUUUUGAUUUAGUUUAUUUUAAUAAUUUAAAUUAUUUUAUUGGGGUGAUAUUAAAAUUUAAAUAACUUUUAAUUUUAUUUAACAUUAAUUUAUGAUUAAUUGAUCCAUUAAUAAUGAUUAUAAGAAUAAGUUACUUUAGGGAUAACAGCGUAAUUUUUUUGGAGAGUUCUUAUUGAUAAAAAAGUUUGCGACCUCGAUGUUGGAUUAAGAUAUAAUUUUAGGUGUAGUUGCUUAAA